UACUCAACUUUGGUAUUUUGCAGUUCAGGAUCUCUACUUGGCGGUUUAGUUGAGUUCUGUUUUCAUUGUUUUCGUGCAAACAUGAUCCAAGAUAAAGCAAAGAGCGAUAAAUAAUUUUUAGAUGAUAUAAGAUGGCUAUGAUAAUAUUUUUCUCGUGACUUACUCAACCUUGGCCUUUUGCAAUUCAGGAUCAGGCAUCUACAUUGUGGUUUAAUUGUAGUUUCAUCUGAUUUUUUGGUGGGUUCACGAAGCAAGGGAUGGUAACUAAUUUUUAAAUCAUAGAGGAAGGCUAUCACAAAAACUUAACUGGUAGUUGGUGGAUACAUGAAACGAGGCCUCUGGAUAGGGAGAAAGGAGGCGAGGUGAACCAGCUGCUAUCGUUGAUCGUCCUGGCCAUGUCCUCUUGCUCUACAGACAUUUGUAGAAGUCUCAUGUCAUUGUGCAGUUCGAUCGGAUAGCAGCUCAGGAUUAGUUGAUCUCCAACCAGUUAGCGAGAAACAGUCAUAGAAGUGUCAUGUUAUUUUGCAGUUUGAUUUAAGAGCUGCUCGAGAUAAUUCCAGUAGGUAUUGUCAUGGUAGAUAGUUGCUAUCUCAUCUGUUCAAUGCCUCUACCACCCGGGUAUGGCAUAUAUUAUGAUUCAGGAUUGUUUCGGUUUUUUAAAAUUUGGUUAUAAUAUAGGGACAAUGUCAGCCGAUUAUAAUAUAUAUGACAUUAGCUGAGCCCUAUUCAGCCAAUUAUAUGAUAAUGUUUUAAUCUAAGUAAAUCAAGUACAACUGUACCAUUUGGUUUUUUGAUUUUAUGAUUGGGAUUUAUGUGAUUUUGCAUUUCGACUUAUGCUACACUGGGUCUCCAGUAGACGUUCUGUCUAAGGUUUAGCAUGAAAGUAUAUUAAUCGUUUGCCUUUAUGAAUCUGAACAUUAGCAUUUUAGUGGAAAGAUACAGUCCAAUUUAGAAAUAGAAGACAUAAAUAUUGUAACUGUUGUCUUUGUUACUGCAUGAUAAUGAUAAUUUGCUUAGUGUGGUGCUCUAUUUCUAAGUUACUUUCUUUUUCUCAUCCAAGUUACUUUGUUAGUAAUCUGUAGUUGAAUUACUGUGGGCCUAGGUUGUCCUCUUUGGUCUGGAUGGUUACAAACGUUGUGUGUAGUGUCAAAAAUUGUGAUAAAAUAUCUACCUAAUAUUUUCUGUUCAAUAUUCUUGCUAUAGCACUAGAUUCCACGGAAACGAGAAAUAUAGUGUACCGAGAGGUGCUCGAUUGUCUGUAGGCGCUGCUUCUUACAACCAUGUGUUUUAAUGUAGAUACUUUCAGCUUUAAUUCUCUUGCGUUUUUCAGUAAAUGUGCAUUUAAUUUCUUAUGCCCUUCUAUUCUUUACGUAUGCCAUUUCAAUUUAGCAACUAAUGUUUUCUGUUCAUAUCCAUUUUGUUUUUGUGCUUAGGUUUCCCUUUAUGAUGAAGCUAUUGGUGCUACCAUGGAUGGAUCUCCUCCUGUUUAGAUACUGCUUUGGUUCAAGGUGAUAUACAGUGAACCAUCUGAAGAAAAGGCAGUUCCUGUUGAGAGUUGGUUCAAAAGCUAUGUGCAUAAGCUCGAGACCUCAAGUCGCUUAAUGAAUACAGCCAGUGCUUAGUUUCGUGUAUAUUUUUAGGCAGUGCAAGAAGUACAUAGCCACUCUUUUGUUUUAUGUACAUUUCACGUGAUGACAUGUGACUUCUUCCGACUCUUUGUUUCAUAUUGCCUGUUAUCUUAC